GCAUGGUCUGCGUCUGGAAAGAAUUUCGGUUGGGGAUGGGCUCGCGGCCUAUCAGCUUGUUGGUGAGGUAAUGGCUCACCAAGGCGUCGACGGGUAGCCGGCCUGAGAGGGUGACCGGCCACACUGGGACUGAGACACGGCCCAGACUCCUACGGGAGGCAGCAGUGGGGAAUAUUGCACAAUGGGCGCAAGCCUGAUGCAGCAACGCCGCGUGAGGGACGACGGCCUUCGGGUUGUAAACCUCUUUUAGCAGGGAAGAAGCGAAAGUGACGGUACCUGCAGAAAAAGCGCCGGCUAACUACGUGCCAGCAGCCGCGGUAAUACGUAGGGCGCAAGCGUUAUCCGGAAUUAUUGGGCGUAAAGAGCUCGUAGGCGGUUUGUCGCGUCUGCUGUGAAAUCCGGAGGCUCAACCUCCGGCCUGCAGUGGGUACGGGCAGACUAGAGUGCGGUAGGGGAGAUUGGAAUUCCUGGUGUAGCGGUGGAAUGCGCAGAUAUCAGGAGGAACACCGAUGGCGAAGGCAGAUCUCUGGGCCGUAACUGACGCUGAGGAGCGAAAGGGUGGGGAGCAAACAGGCUUAGAUACCCUGGUAGUCCACCCCGUAAACGUUGGGAACUAGUUGUGGGGUCCAUUCCACGGAUUCCGUGACGCAGCU
rnacentral:rRNA from 1 species